GCGGGGUAGAGCAGUCGGUCAGCUUGUCGGUUUUACUUGCCGAAGGUCGUCGGUUCGAAUCCGGCCCCCGCUA
rnacentral:tRNA from 1 species